rnacentral:rRNA from 1 species
GAUGAACGCUGGCGGAGUGCCUAACACAUGCAAGUCGAACGGCAGCACAGAAGAGCUUGCUCUUUGGGUGGCGAGUGGCGGACGGGUGAGUAAUGUCUGGGAAACUGCCCGAUGGAGGGGGAUAACUACUGGAAACGGUAGCUAAUACCGCAUAACGUCGCGAGACCAAAGUGGGGGACCUUCGGGCCUCACACCAUCGGAUGUGCCCAGAUGGGAUUAGCUAGUAGGUGGGGUAAUGGCUCACCUAGGCGACGAUCCCUAGCUGGUCUGAGAGGAUGACCAGCCACACUGGAACUGAGACACGGUCCAGACUCCUACGGGAGGCAGCAGUGGGGAAUAUUGCACAAUGGGCGCAAGCCUGAUGCAGCCAUGCCGCGUGUAUGAAGAAGGCCUUCGGGUUGUAAAGUACUUUCAGCGGGGAGGGAGGCGGUGAGGUUAAUAACCUUGCCGAUUGACGUUACCCGCAGAAGAAGCACCGGCUAACUCCGUGCCAGCCGCCGCCGUAA